UAAGGAAUAUUGGACAAUGGAGGCAACUCUGAUCCAGCCAUGCCGCGUGAAGGAAUAAGGCCCUAUGGGUUGUAAACUUCUUUUAGACGGGACAAAACCCCUUUACGUGUAAAGGGUUGAUGGUACUGUCAGAAUAAGCAUCGGCUAACUUCGUGCCAGCAGCCGCGGUAAUACGAAGGAUGCAAGCGUUAUCCGGAAUUAUUGGGUUUAAAGGGUGCGUAGGCGGACUAAUAAGUCAGUGGUGAAAGCCUGCAGCUUAACUGCAGAAUUGCCAUUGAUACUGUUAGUCUUGAGUACAGUUGAGGUAGGCGGAAUGUGGCAUGUAGCGGUGAAAUGGUUAGAUAUGACACAGAACACCGAUUGCGAAGGCAGCUUGCUAAGCUGUAACUGACGCUGAGGCACGAAAGCGUGGGGAGCAAACA
rnacentral:rRNA from 1 species